GACGAACGCUGGCGGCGUGCUUAACACAUGCAAGUCGAGCGGAGCGGCGCACGGGUGAGUAACGCGUGAGUAACUGCCCCCCUCUCUGGGAUAACAGUUGGAAACGGCUGCUAAUACCGGAUAGUGGGGGAUGACUCGCGUCCUAUCCGCUUGUUGGUGGGGUAGUGGCCUACCAAGGCGACGACGGGUAGCCGGCCUGAGUGGGCGACCGGCCACAUUGGGCGGAGAUACGGCCCAAACUCCUAGGGGGGGCAGCAGUGGGGAAGAUGGCAAAAGGGGGGAAACCGGGAUGGAGCAAGGCGCGAGCGGGAUGAGGGCCGUCGGGUUGUAAGCCGCUUUCAGCCAGGACGCGGUAGUGGCAGAAGAAGCACAGGCUAACUGCGUGCCAGCAGCCGCGGUAAUAC
rnacentral:rRNA from 1 species